AACCCCUGGAACUGGUCAAAAAAGACAUCUUGUUGGUGGUGGUGUUCUUAUUCCAGUCAGGGCAGAGCAGCUGGCUUUCUUUUGGUCUUCCUAGCUUGGUACCUGGUUUGCUGGCCAAAGCUGUUUUAAGCCUAGGACUCAUAA